GAUUGGGGUAAAUUUACCCCAAUCAAGGAGAAAUAUUUAUAUAGUUUAAAUAAAACUCUACAUUUUCAUUGUAAAAUUAAAUCAUUUUUGUAA
rnacentral:tRNA from 1 species